GCACGAGCGCGAGCCGUUGACGAAGCCGAAGCAGGACCGGUACGCUCUGCGGACGUCGCCGCAAUGGCUCGGGCCGCAAAUAGAGGUGAUCCGCACGGCGACGCACUCGAUCGAGCGGGAAAUCAACUCAGUCAACGAUAACCCCCUCAUCGACGUCGCCCGCGACAUCGCUCUCCACGGCGGCAAUUUCCAGGGGACACCCAUCGGCGUUUCCAUGGACAACCUCCGCGUCGCGCUGGCGGCCAUCGGGAAGCUGGUCUUCGCGCAAUUCUCCGAGCUCGUCUGCGACUACUACAACGACGGCCUACCGUCCAAUCUGAGCGCCGGCGCCGACCCCAGUCUCGACUACGGCCUAAAGGGAGCCGAGAUCGCCAUGGCCGCCUACUGCUCGGAGCUCCAGUACUUGGCCAACCCGGUGACGACCCACGUCCAGAGCGCCGAGCAGCACAACCAGGACAUCAACUCCUUGGGCCUAAUCUCGGCGCGUAAGAGCGCCGAGGCUGUGGAGAUCCUGAAGCUGAUGAUGGCCACCUACAUGAUCGCUCUGUGCCAAGCAAUCGACCUGAGACAUCUGGAAGAGAACCUGAGAGAGGUCGUGA
rnacentral:lncRNA from 1 species